GACCGCUCUGGUGGCUUAGUGGUUAGAGCAUCCGUCUUAGAUGUGGGAGGUUGUGGGUUUGAUCCCCAGCCAAGUCA